CUACAAACCCGAACUAUCGUUCCACAAAAUGUGGAGAGGAAAGUCCGGACAGCACAGAGCAACCUACCGGAUAACAUCCGGUCAUAUCAUUUCGGUAUGAAGAAAGUGCCACAGAAAAUAACUGCCUCAACCUCUUUUGAAGAGUGUUGCGGUGAGGAUGAAAAUGUGAGGUAAGAGCUCACAGUUGUAGCAAGUAAUUGUUAUAACGGGUAAACCUUAGGUGCUGUAAUGCCACGUAUAGAGCCGUUUUAAGAGCUGCUCGCUCAAGGCUCAGGGUAGGCAGCAAGAUUGUAACAGUAAUGUUACAACCAGAUAAAUGAUAGUGCAAAAACAGAAUCCGGCUUACGAGGUUUGUAGCUUU
rnacentral:RNase_P_RNA from 1 species